AGCCCAGAGCCUGAAUCAGUGUGUGUGUUAGUGGAAGCGUCUGGAAAGGCGCGCGAUACAGGGUGACAGCCCCGUACACAAAAAUGCACAUGCUGUGAGCUCGAUGAGUAGGGCGGGACACGUGGUAUCCUGUCUGAAUAUGGGGGGACCAUCCUCCAAGGCUAAAUACUCCUGACUGACCGAUAGUGAACCAGUACCGUGAGGGAAAGGCGAAAAGAACCCCGGCGAGGGGAGUGAAAAAGAACCUGAAACCGUGUACGUACAAGCAGUGGGAGCACGCUUAGGCGUGUGACUGCGUACCUUUUGUAUAAUGGGUCAGCGACUUAUAUUCUGUAGCAAGGUUAACCGAAUAGGGGAGCCGAAGGGAAACCGAGUCUUAACUGGGCGUUAAGUUGCAGGGUAUAGACCCGAAACCCGGUGAUCUAGCCAUGGGCAGGUUGAAGGUUGGGUAACACUAACUGGAGGACCGAACCGACUAAUGUUGAAAAAUUAGCGGAUGACUUGUGGCUGGGGGUGAAAGGCCAAUCAAACCGGGAGAUAGCUGGUUCUCCCCGAAAGCUAUUUAGGUAGCGCCUCGUGAAUUCAUCUCCGGGGGUAGAGCACUGUUUCGGCAAGGGGGUCAUCCCGACUUACCAACCCGAUGCAAACUGCGAAUACCGGAGAAUGUUAUCACGGGAGACACACGGCGGGUGCUAACGUCCGUCGUGAAGAGGGAAACAACCCAGACCGCCAGCUAAGGUCCCAAAGUCAUGGUUAAGUGGGAAACGAUGUGGGAAGGCCCAGACAGCCAGGAUGUUGGCUUAGAAGCAGCCAUCAUUUAAAGAAAGCGUAAUAGCUCACUGGUCGAGUCGGCCUGCGCGGAAGAUGUAACGGGGCUAAACCAUGCACCGAAGCUGCGGCAGCGACGCUGAUGCGUUGUUGGGUAGGGGAGCGUUCUGUAAGCCUGCGAAGGUGUGCUGUGAGGCAUGCUGGAGGUAUCAGAAGUGCGAAUGCUGACAUAAGUAACGAUAAAGCGGGUGAAAAGCCCGCUCGCCGGAAGACCAAGGGUUCCUGUCCAACGUUAAUCGGGGCAGGGUGAGUCGACCCCUAAGGCGAGGCCGAAAGGCGUAGUCGAUGGGAAACAGGUUAAUAUUCCUGUACUUGGUGUUACUGCGAAGGGGGGACGGAGAAGGCUAUGUUGGCCGGGCGACGGUUGUCCCGGUUUAAGCGUGUAGGCUGGUUUUCCAGGCAAAUCCGGAAAAUCAAGGCUGAGGCGUGAUGACGAGGCACUACGGUGCUGAAGCAACAAAUGCCCUGCUUCCAGGAAAAGCCUCUAAGCAUCAGGUAACAUCAAAUCGUACCCCAAACCGACACAGGUGGUCAGGUAGAGAAUACCAAGGCGCUUGAGAGAACUCGGGUGAAGGAACUAGGCAAAAUGGUGCCGUAACUUCGGGAGAAGGCACGCUGAUAUGUAGGUGAGGUCCCUCGCGGAUGGAGCUGAAAUCAGUCGAAGAUACCAGCUGGCUGCAACUGUUUAUUAAAAACACAGCACUGUGCAAACACGAAAGUGGACGUAUACGGUGUGACGCCUGCCCGGUGCCGGAAGGUUAAUUGAUGGGGUUAGCGCAAGCGAAGCUCUUGAUCGAAGCCCCGGUAAACGGCGGCCGUAACUAUAACGGUCCUAAGGUAGCGAAAUUCCUUGUCGGGUAAGUUCCGACCUGCACGAAUGGCGUAAUGAUGGCCAGGCUGUCUCCACCCGAGACUCAGUGAAAUUGAACUCGCUGUGAAGAUGCAGUGUACCCGCGGCAAGACGGAAAGACCCCGUGAACCUUUACUAUAGCUUGACACUGAACAUUGAGCCUUGAUGUGUAGGAUAGGUGGGAGGCUUAGAAGUGUGGACGCCAGUCUGCAUGGAGCCGACCUUGAAAUACCACCCUUUAAUGUUUGAUGUUCUAACGUUGACCCGUAAUCCGGGUUGCGGACAGUGUCUGGUGGGUAGUUUGACUGGGGCGGUCUCCUCCUAAAGAGUAACGGAGGAGCACGAAGGUUGGCUAAUCCUGGUCGGACAUCAGGAGGUUAGUGCAAUGGCAUAAGCCAGCUUGACUGCGAGCGUGACGGCGCGAGCAGGUGCGAAAGCAGGUCAUAGUGAUCCGGUGGUUCUGAAUGGAAGGGCCAUCGCUCAACGGAUAAAAGGUACUCCGGGGAUAACAGGCUGAUACCGCCCAAGAGUUCAUAUCGACGGCGGUGUUUGGCACCUCGAUGUCGGCUCAUCACAUCCUGGGGCUGAAGUAGGUCCCAAGGGUAUGGCUGUUCGCCAUUUAAAGUGGUACGCGAGCUGGGUUUAGAACGUCGUGAGACAGUUCGGUCCCUAUCUGCCGUGGGCGCUGGAGAACUGAGGGGGGCUGCUCCUAGUACGAGAGGACCGGAGUGGACGCAUCACUGGUGUUCGGGUUGUCAUGCCAAUGGCACUGCCCGGUAGCUAAAUGCGGAAGAGAUAAGUGCUGAAAGCAUCUAAGCACGAAACUUGCCCCGAGAUGAGUUCUCCCUGACCCUUUAAGGGUCCUGAAGGAACGUUGAAGACGACGACGUUGAUAGGCCGGGUGUGUAAGCGCAGCGAUGCGUUGAGCUAACCGGUACUAAUGAACCGUGAGGCUUAACCUUACAACGCCGAAG
rnacentral:rRNA from 1 species